AGUGAACGCUGGCGGCGUGGUUCAGACAUGCAAGUCGAGCGGGAUUCGUGGAUCUGAUCCUUCGGGUGAAGUGAAGCGAUGAGAGCGGCGAACGGGUGAGUAACACGUGAGCAACCUGCCCUUAAGUUCGGGAUAGCCCGCCGAAAGGUGGAUUAAUACCGGAUGUGGUCCCUGGUCGCAUGGCCGGGGCACUAAAGCCUGUAAUGGCGCUUUAGGAGGGGCUCGCGUCCUAUCAGCUUGUUGGUGAGGUAACGGCUCACCAAGGCUAAGACGGGUAGCUGUUCUGAGAGGAUGAUCAGCCACACUGGAACUGAGACACGGUCCAGACACCUACGGGUGGCUG
rnacentral:rRNA from 1 species